AAAUAACAAGAAUAAUUUAUAAAUACGUCUCAAGAAAUAGAACACACACCAAUCAUUAUUAAUAACGAAGAAAAUGAAUCGGGAUACACUUUUGAUGCUCUAAUUAAUAAAAAUAUUAUUAAUAAAGAUGCUAUAAGAAAAUUAAAUUUUAUACUAUCUGAAAAACAUAAUUUUAGAUAUAACUCAUUGAGAGAAGAUUAUAAAUGAAUGAUGCGGUGGAUUAUAUUGAUGCGGGAUUAUGUUGAAUGAUUGGAUGAUUAUGUGAAUAAUUUUGAUAGGGCUCUGCUAUUCAGAAAUAGAACAACUAUUUCAACAGAGAAGACAAUUGAGAUCAACUCAAGUCUUAAACAUUCAAACUUAACUUGUUUAUUUCAUAUGGGCAAAGGCCCUAUUUAUAGGCUCAAGAGAGCCGGUUACAAUUAUUGUUGCAAUCAUUUGAUUGGAAUACGACAUACAUAUGUACAUUAUAGCCCCUAGACUAUUGAGGGUUACACACUUUAUGUUACAUCACAAAUAAUACAACCGACACUUAAUAAUUAUCCUACCAACACUUCUAUUUAAUUACGUAAAAAUAACAAUCCUUUAUUUAAGACACAUGUCCUUUCAACGUGGAAAGGAUUGUUAUUUUUACGUAAUUAAAUAGAAGUGUCGGUAGGAUAAUUAUUAAGUGUCGAUUGUAUUAUUUGUGAUGUAACAUAAAGUGUGUAACCCUCAAUAGUCUAGGGGCUAUAAUGUAAAUAUGUAUAUCGUAUUGCAAUCAAACGAAUGCAACAAUAAUUGUAAUCGGCUCUCUUGAGCAUCAAAAGUGUAUCCCACUUCAUUUUCUUCGUUAUUAAUAAUGAUUGGCGUAUUUUCUAUUUCUUGAGACAUAUUUAAUAAAUUAUUCUUGUUAUUUAUCUUCAAGAUUUUUUAUUUGUUAAUAUUUAAACUUGAAAAACUCAUGAUCAUAACUUUUAGAAACAAAAUGAUAAUUUAUUUUUUCUUUCAAAGUUACGAUUUAUAAAUUCUAAUAAGAUGUUGAUGGUGGGGUUUUUUAAUACUAUUAUAUUUAUGAUGCAGUUAGAGAAUUAAAAACCUCAUUGACAUAUGAAAUGCGUUUCUAACUUCUUGGUACAUAGUCAUAAUUGUAAAAAACCUUCUACCGACAUAUGUUUAUAGGUGGAUANUAUUUGAUUUUAAUAAUGAGUUUAUGAUAAUAACUUAUAACGAUGAAUGUUUGUAACGAUGAAUAUUUAUAAGAAUAUAUAUAUGAUGAUGCAUGAUGAACAUAUAUUCAUAUGAACGAAAGAUUUAAUAUUCAAAAUAAUAGGAAGAACGUUACUUAGCUCUGAUACCAAAUUUAAAAUAACAUGAUGAAGGAUUAAUUGCUCUCAUACCAAAUUUAAAGACAUGACGGAAUUAAUAAAGAUUAAGAGAAGAUUAUACAUGAAUGAUGCGGUGGAUUAUAUUGAUGAUGGAUUAUGUUGAAUAAUUGGAUGGUUAUGUGGAUAAUUUGGAUAGAACUCUGCUAUUCAGAAAUAUAACAACUAUUUCAACAGAGAAGACAAUUGAGAUCAACUCAAGUCUUAAACACUCAAACUUAACUUGUUUAUUUCAUAUGGGCAAAGGCCCUAUUUAUAGGCUCAAGAGAGCCGGUUACAAUUAUUGUUGUAAUCGUUUGAUUGCAAUACGACAUACAUAUUUACAUUAUAGCCCCAUAGACUAUUGAGGGCUACACACUUUAAGUUUGGCAAUUACAAUUACAUCAAUUUCACCCAUACCUCAAGUAUAUCAAAAGUGCCAACAACCACAUAGCAGACACACUAACAAGUGAAUGGAAGCCAUCAUAAAGCAACCCAGAUAAGAAGCAACACUAUUCAUGGAAGACUAACACAAGAAUUAAAAAAUAUCUGCUUUUUCGGAGGCGGGAGGAAUGACGUAAGCAAUGACAUAGAAAGCCAUUAUUGAAGAUUAACGGGAGGAAUAACGUAAGCAAUGACGUAAAAAGCCAUUAUUGAAGACACCUAAUGACGUAAGCAAUGAAGUAAAAAGCCAUUAUUGUAGACACCUGUCUUUUCAAUGUGGAAGGGAUUAUUUUAUUUUUAAUUAUGUAAAGUGUUGGUAGAAUUAUUUGUAUUUGUCGGUAGGAUAAUUAUUAAGUGUCGGUUGUAUUAUUUUUGAUGUAACACAAAGUGUGUAACCCUCAAUAGUCUAGGGGGCUAUAAUGUAAAUAUGUAUAUCGUAUUGCAAUCAAACGAUUGCAACAAUAAUUGUAACCGACUCUCUUGAGCCUAUAAAUAGGGCCUUUGCCCAUAUGAAAUAAACAAGUUAAGUUUGAGUGUUUAAGACUUGAGUUGAUCUCAAUUGUCUUCUCUGUUGAAAUAGUUGUUAUAUUUCUGAAUAGCAGAGUUCUAUCCAAAUUAUCCACAUAACCAUCCAAUUAUUCAACGUAAUCCAUCAUCAAUAUAAUCCACUGCAUCAUUCAGGUAUAAUCUUAUCUUAAUCUUUCUUAAUUCCGUCAUGUUGUUAAAUUUGAUAUCAGAGCAAUUAAUCCGUCAUCAUGUUAUUUUGAAUUUGGUAUCAGAGCUAAGUAACGUUCUUACUAUUAUUUUGAAUGUUAAAUCUUUCAUUCAUAUGAAUAUUAAUCGUUACAAACAUUCAUCGUUAUAAGUUAUAAACUCAUUAUUAAAAUCAAAUAUUAUUAUCCACCUACAAUUUAAACAUAUGUCGGUAGAAGUUUUUUUACAAUUAUGACUACGUACCAAGAAGUUAGAAAUACAUUUCAUAUGUCAAAAAAGUUUUUAAUUCUCUGACUGCAUCAUAAAUAUAAUAGUAUUAAAAACCCCACCAUCAACAUCUUAUUAGAAUUUAUAAAUCAUAACUUUGAGAAAAAAACUUAUCAUUUUGUUUCUAAAAAUUAUAAUCAUAAGUUUUUCAAAUUUAAAUAUUAACAAAUAAAAAAUCUUGAAAAUAAAAUAACAAGAAUAAUUUAUAAAUAUGUCUCAAGAAAUAGAACAUACACCAAUCAUUAUUAAUAACGAAGAAAAUGAAUCGGGAUACACUUUUGAUGCUCUAAUUAAUAAAAAUAAUAUUAAUAAAGAUGCUAUAAGAAAAUUAAAUUUUACACUAUCUGAAAAACAUAAUUUUAAAUAUAACUCAUUGAGAGAAGAUUAUACAUGAAUGAUGUCGUGGAUUAUAUUGAUGCUGGAUUAUGUUGAAUGAUUGGAUGAUUAUGUGGAUAAUUUGGAUAGGGCUCUGCUAUUUAGAAAUAGAACAACUAUUUCAACAGAGAAGACAAUUGAGAUCAACUCAAGUCUUAAACACUUUCAUAUGGGCAAAGGCCUAUUUAUAGGNAUCAAGAGAGUCGGUUACAAUUAUUGUUGCAAUCGUUUGAUUGCAAUACGACAUACAUAUUUACAUUAUAGCCCCCUAAACUAUUGAGGGUUACACACUUUAUGUUACAUCACAAAUAAUACAACCGACACUUAAUAAUUAUCCUACCGACACUUCUAUUUAAUUACGUAAAAAUAACAAUCCUUAAUUUAAGACACAUGUCCUUUCAACGUGGAAGGGAUUGUUAUUUUUACGUAAUUAAAUAGAAGUCUCGGUAGGAUAAUCAUUAAGUGUCCGUUGUAUUAUUUGUGAUGUAACAUAAUGUGUGUAACCCACAAUAGUUUAGGGGGCUAUAAUGUAAAUAUGUAUGUCGUAUUGCAAUCAAACGAUUGCAACAAUAAUUGUAACCGGCUCUCUUGAGCAUCAAAAGAGUAUUCCAGUUCAUUUUCUUCGUUAUUAAUAAUGAUGGGUGUAUAUUUUAUUUCUUGAGACAUAUUUAAUAAAUUAUUCUUGUUAUUUUGUCUUCAAGAUUUUUUCUUCGUUAAUAUUUAAACUUGAAAAACUCAUGAUUAUAAUUUUUAAAAAUGAUAAUUUAUUUUUUCUUCCAAAGUUACGAUUUAUAAAUUCUAAUAAGAUGUUGAUGGUGGGGUUUUUUAAUACUAUUAUAUUUAUGAUGAAGUUAGAGAACUAAAAACCUCUUUGACAUAUGAAAUGUGUUUCUAACUUCUUGGUACAUAGUCAUAAUUGUAAAAAACCUUCUACCGACAUAUGUUUAAAUUGUAGGUGGAUAGUAGUAUUUGAUUUUAAUAAUGAGUUUAUGAUAAUAACUUAUAACGAUGAAUGUUUGUAACGAUGAAUAUUUAUAAGAAUAUAUAUGAUGAUGCAUGAUGAACAUAUAUUCAUAUGAACGGAAGAUUUAAUAUUCAAAAUAAUAGUAAGAACGUUACUUAGCUCUGAUACCAAAUUUAAAAUAACAUGAUGACAGAUUAAUUGCUUUCAUACCAAAUUUAAAGCGAUGACGGAAUUAAUAAAGAUUAAGAGAAUAUUAUACCUGAAUAAUGCGGUGGAUUAUCUUGAUGAUGGAUUAUGUUGAAUAAUUGGAUGGUUAUGUGGAUAAUUUGGAUAGAACUCUGCUAUUCAGAAAUAGAACAACUAUUUCAACAGAGAAGACAAUUGAGAUCAACUCAAGUCUUAAACACUCAAACUUAAAUUGUUUAUUUCAUAUGGGCAAAGGCCCGAUUCAUAGGCUCAAGAGAGCCGGUUACAAUUAUUGUUGCAAUCGUUUGAUUGCAAUACGACAUACAUAUUUAUAUUAUAGCCCCCUAGACUAUUGAGGGUUACACACUUUAAGUUUGGCAAUUACAAUUACAUCAAUCUCACCCAUACCUCAAGUAUAUCAAAAGUGCCAACAACCAUAUAGCAGACACACUAACAAGAGAAUGGAAGCCAUCAUAAAGCAACCCAGAUAAGAAGCAACACUAUUCAUGGAAGACUAACACAAGAAUUAAAAAAUAUCUGCUUUUUUGGAGGCGGGAGGAAUCACGCAAGCAAUGCCAUAAAAAGCCAUUAUUGAAGAUUAACGGGAGGAAUAACGUAAGCAAUGACGUAAAAAGCCAUUAUUGAAGACACCUAAUGACGUAAUCAAUGACGUAAAAAGCCAUUAUUGAAGACACCUGUCUUUUCAAUGUGGAAGGGAUUAUUAUAUUUUUAAUUAUGUAAAGUGUUGGUAGAAUUAUUUGUAUUGUCGGUAGGANAAUUAUUAAGUGUCGGUUGUAUUAUUUGUGAUGUAACAUAAAGUGUGAAACCCUCAAUAGUCUAGGGGGCUAUAAUGUAAAUAUGUAUGUCGUAUUGCAAUCAAACGAUUGCAACAAUAAUUGUAACCGGCUCUCUUGAGCCUAUAAAUAGGGUUUUCGCAUAUAUGAAAUAAACAAGUUAAGUU
rnacentral:lncRNA from 1 species